UGCAGUCGAGCGGUAGAGAGGUGCUUGCACCUCUUGAGAGCGGCGGACGGGCGAGUAAAGCCUAGGAAUCUGCCUGGUAGUGGGGGAUAACGCUCGGAAACGGACGCUAAUACCGCAUACGUCCUACGGGAGAAAGCAGGGGACCUUCGGGCCUUGCGCUAUCAGAUGAGCCUAGGUCGGAUUAGCUAGUUGGUGAGGUAAUGGCUCACCAAGGCGACGAUCCGUAACUGGUCUGAGAGGAUGAUCAGUCACACUGGAACUGAGACACGGUCCAGACUCCUACGGGAGGCAGCAGUGGGGAAUAUUGGACAAUGGGCGAAAGCCUGAUCCAGCCAUGCCGCGUGUGUGAAGAAGGUCUUCGGAUUGUAAAGCACUUUAAGUUGGGAGGAAGGGCAUUAACCUAAUACGUUAGUGUUUUGACGUUACCGACAGAAUAAGCACCGGCUAACUCUGUGCCAGCAGCCGCGGUAAUACAGAGGGUGCAAGCGUUAAUCGGAAUUACUGGGCGUAAAGCGCGCGUAGGCGGUUCGUUAAGUUGGAUGUGAAAUCCCCGGGCUCAACCUGGGAACUGCAUUCAAAACUGUCGAGCUAGAGUAUGGUAGAGGGUGGUGGAAUUUC
rnacentral:rRNA from 1 species